rnacentral:rRNA from 1 species
AUUGAACGCUGGCGGCAUGCCUUACACAUGCAAGUCGAACGGUAACAGGUCUUCGGAUGCUGACGAGUGGCGAACGGGUGAGUAAUACAUCGGAACGUGCCCGAUCGUGGGGGAUAACGAAGCGAAAGCUUUGCUAAUACCGCAUAAGAUCUACGGAUGAAAGCAGGGGACCGCAAGGCCUUGCGCGAACGGAGCGGCCGAUGGCAGAAUAGGUAGUUGGUGGGAUAAAAGCUUACCAAGCCGACGAUCUGUAGCUGGUCUGAGCGGACGACCAGCCACACUGGGACUGAGACACGGCCCAGACUCCUGCGGGAGGCAGCAGUGGGGAAUGUUGGACAAUGGGCGAAAGCCUGAUCCAGCCAUGCCGCGUGCAGGAUGAAGGCCUUGGGGUUGUAAACUGCUUUUGUACGGAACGAAAAGACUCUUUCUAAUAAAGAGGGUCCAUGACGGUACCGUAAGAAUAAGCACCGGCUAACUACGUGCCAGCCGCCGGGGUAAUAC